rnacentral:misc_RNA from 1 species
UCCUUCUCGCGUCUCAUCUAUCAGAACUAUAUCAUCUGCAAACAUCAUGCACCAAGGGAUACUUUAUUGUAUACGUUUCGUCAUUUCAUCUAAAAUUAAUGUAAAUCUUAAAUUAAUCUAAGUGGAGAUGCUGAUAAUGCAUUUUAUAUUAGAGAUCAAUUGUUGUCUUUUGGGGUUUUACAAAAUUUAUUUACCUACAAUGCAUUGAUUCAUGCACAUGUAAGAGUACAUAACAUUGUUGUUGCAGACUCUCAAAAAGGAGAUGGUUUGGUCUGGUCUUUUUCCUGAUGAGUUUACUUACAAUUUUUUGAUCCAUGCAGCUUGUAAUGUUGGGCACAUUCAUUUUGCACUUAACUUGUAUAAUAAAAUGCUGAUAUGAACCAGAUAUAAUAACUUUAGAGGUCAUUGUGUGAGGGGUAAGAUGGAGGAGGCAGUGGAUCUUUUUGCCAAAUUACAAAAUUCUGGUCUUACGAUUGAUCAUGUUCCAGUUCAGAUACUUAUCAAAAAGUACUGCAUAAUGAGGGAGACUGAUAGGGCAUUUGACCUCUAUCAAAAGUGGUUGACAAGGAAAAAUGUAGGCAAUGACUUUGAACCUUGCAUAUGAUCUUUCUAAAGUGGAGCUGAGGUGUAUCUGGAACUCUGGGAUUAGUGCAGUGCAUUCAUUUUGCUGUCAGGGUCAGUGAGGAAUAAAGCUUUGAAUUCAUCAUAUCAGUUGGAGCUCAGUAGCCUGGUUGAGAGCACCGACAAAGAUGAAGACUUCAUAUACAAGCAGCUGUAGUUACAUGCUCUUAGAAGUGAAUUACAGCUCAUUUGAAAUGUUAACCGCUGCUUAUGAGAAGCGCAGGAUAUUUGACAAGUUAUUAUACCAUAUUCUUGUUGAUAUAUGUUCAUCAAAAUCAAUGCGCUGGGUUGCUGUUGGAUCCAAAACAUGAAAUCCCAAUUCAUUACUCAACAACUCAUUCCAUCUGCAAUGCUGGGAGAAAGUGCCAUAAGAACUCAAAUAGCACCUUGGGCAUUCAGCACUUGACUUGAAACUCCUCUUUUUGUAUAUAUGAAAAGAGCUUUGGUUUGGGUUUUAGCAGAAGCAGUGGUGUAACGGGGAGGUCUCUUAUACUUCGUGUAGUGCCUGACCAAUGAUAUUGGAUUGAACCAAAAGGAAGAAAACCCAAGGUACAAAGUACUCUUGUAUCUUUGUGUUUUUGAGUCAUUUUGUUGAUGGAACUUCUGUUUUCUGUUGUUCAUUAGAAUUAUACCUUUAAAUUUAAUUUGUUCUUUCAAAAACGAUACUCAUUAAAAUUGUUGUAUUUUGCAGAUUCAUAGUAAAAAAAGAUAUAGGCUAGCUCAACAUCGCUUGAAUGAUUUGGUGUUUGUCAAGUAUAAUUAGUCAUUGAAGCGUCAAUGUGAUGCACGUGACCUCAUUGACCCCAUCUCGUUGAAAGACAUUGAUGAUAGUAAUGAAUGGUUGAUGGGUCAAAUGGAGGAAGAGAUAGAGAGAGAUGAACUUGUUUUUAAAGAUGAUGAUUUGACAUGGAAUGUUGUUGCUGAAGCUAUUGGAGCUGAAGAGGAUGCCUACAACACUAGAUUAAGCAAAGGGAAAAAUGAUGCAACUACAUCACAGCAAAAAAGAAAAGUAUCAUCCACUCGUACUUCUUCACUUCUUGAAGACGAGGAAGAAAAUGAUGAUGAUGAAGAUGUUAAUUUGGAAGAUGAGUAUGAGGAGGAUAAUGAAGAUGAUGAAGAAGAUGAAGAAGAUGAAGAGGAUUUUGAUAUUUCUAUUGAUGUGGAUUGAACAUUUAGUAGUUUACUAGUUUAUUAAACUUUAACUUUUAGUAGUUUAUUAGUGUUUUUAACUUUUAGUAGUUUAUUUUUACCUCUUUUGGAUUAUAAACUUAUUAUUACUUGCAUAUUUGUUAGUUAUUAUUAUAUAGUUUUAUGUUACUUGAGGUGUGAUAGCAUAAUUAUAAUUUUUUUUAUUUUUAAUAUAUAUUUUUUAUUUUUGCGCCUUGGCUCUCUCGGGCGCAUGCCUGCGCCUUGUACCUAGGCUCCAAGACACCUUGGCGACUUGGUGCGCCUUAAG